CCUACGGGAGGCAGCAGUGAGGAAUAUUGGUCAAUGGACGAGAGUCUGAACCAGCCAAGUAGCGUGAAGGAUGACUGCCCUAUGGGUUGUAAACUUCUUUUAUCAAGGAAUAAAACGAGGCACGUGUGCCUUUUUGCAUGUACUUUAUGAAUAAGGAUCGGCUAACUCCGUGCCAGCAGCCGCGGUAAUACGGAGGAUCCGAGCGUUAUCCGGAUUUAUUGGGUUUAAAGGGAGCGUAGAUGGGUUGUUAAGUCAGUUGUGAAAGUUUGCGGCUCAACCUUAGAAUUGCAAUUGAUACUGGCAGUCUAGAGUACAGUUGAGGUAGGCGGAAUUCGUGGUGUAGCGGUGAAAUGCUUAGAUAUCACGAAGAACCCCGAUUGCGAAGGCAGCUUACUAAACUGUGACUGACAUUGAUGCUCGAAAGUGUGGGUAUCAAACAGGAUUAGAUACCCUAGUAGUC
rnacentral:rRNA from 1 species